UACGUAGGGGGCAAGCGUUGUCCGGAUUUAUUGGGCGUAAAGAGCGUGUAGGCGGCCAGGUAGGUCCGCUGUGAAAACUCGAGGCUCAACCUCGAGAUGUCGGCGGAAACCAUCUGGCUAGAGUCCGGAAGAGGAGAGUGGAAUUCCUGGUGUAGCGGUGAAAUGCGCAGAUAUCAGGAGGAACACCGGUGGCGAAGGCGGGUCUCUGGGCAACAACUGACGCUGGAGGAGCGAAAGCGUGGGGAGCGAACAGG
rnacentral:rRNA from 1 species